GGGUGUAUAGCUCAGUUGGUAGAGCAGCUGACUCUUAAUCAGCGGGCCGCAGGUUCGAGUCCUGCUACACCCACCA
rnacentral:tRNA from 1 species